AACGCACAUUGCGCCCUCUAUAACAAGGGGGCAUGCCUGUCUGAGCGUCGUUUAAACCCAUAGGCCCCUCUGGGGUCCGUCCUGGGCCUUCGCCCCUCGGGCGUCGCCUCGAAGCCAUCGGUCUUUUGAGCGGACAGAGAUCCUUUAGGACAGGCCGCCCGUGGAAGACCUUGCAUCUGAACUCGACCUCAGAUCAGGUAGGAUUACCGCCCGAACUUAA
rnacentral:misc_RNA from 1 species